CGCGUAGGCGGGAAUUUAAGUUAGGUGUGAAAACUCCGGGCUCAACCUGGAGACUGCACUUAAAACUGGAUUUCUUGAGGGCAGGAGAGGAAAGUGGAAUUCCUAGUGUAGCGGUGAAAUGCGUAGAUAUUAGGAGGAACACCAGUGGCGAAGGCGACUUUCUGGACUGUACCUGACGCUGAGGCGCGAAAGCGUGGGGAGCGAACA
rnacentral:rRNA from 1 species